CUCCAGACUCCUACGGGAGGCAGCAGUGGGGAAUAUUGCACAAUGGGGGAAACCCUGAUGCAGCGACGCCGCGUGAGUGAAGAAGUAUUUCGGUAUGUAAAGCUCUAUCAGCAGGAAAGGAAAUGACGGUACCUGACUAAGAAGCCCCGGCUAACUAUGUGCCAGCAGCCGCGGUAAUACAUAGGGAGCAAGCGUUAUCCGGAUUUAUUGGGUGUAAAGGGUGCGUAGACGGGAAAUUAAGUUAGUUGUGAAAUCCCUCGGCUUAACUGAGGAACUGCAACUAAAACUGGUUUUCUUGAGUACUGGAGAGGAAAGUGGAAUUCCUAGUGUAGCGGUGAAAUGCGUAGAUAUUAGGAGGAACACCAGUGGCGAAGGCGACUUUCUGGACAGUAACUGACGUUGAGGCACGAAAGUGUGGGGAGCAAACAGGAUUAGAUACCCUAGUA
rnacentral:rRNA from 1 species